AGUUAACCCAACCACGGCAGCAGCACAAGGCUCCUUCUGAAGAAGCCACACUGAAGGCUUUCAUACUCAAGAGGAAGAUGAUCGAAAUUAAAAAUCAGAGCGAUGUCAAUACUCUGUUGAUCGUGGUCUGACAGAAAAGAAAUGUCCUGGGAAAUUGUGGAAAUCCCGAGUAUCUGUAGGUUUGCAGUAGGACCUACAGCAUCAUGGCCUCACGCUUGACUUCCUGGUGGACAACAGGUGGACAACGGAUGACUUUCCUUGGUUUGCAUUUGGCUUCCUGUCCUGUAGUUAACUUUGGCCAUCUGAGGAAGGUCUCUCUGGUGGCCUGGGGGCUGAAGUGACAUUUGCCCUUCACCUGCCCUUGCACAGAUCUCUGAGUUCUUAUCCAAGCUGACUGGGACCACACACAGAGUGACCUUGGACUUCAAUGGCUGGACCUGCCAUCAGCCUGAGUUUUCAAAUGAUUUCAUGAAGACUGAAGCCAUGUCCUGCCUUUCCUUCCCUGAAAACUGGAACUCUUAAGUGAGCAAGAGUAAAAUAAAUUCUUUAAGCCAC